rnacentral:rRNA from 1 species
ACGUUACCCGCAGAAGAAGCACCGGCUAACUCCGUGCCAGCAGCCGCGGUAAUACGGAGGGUGCAAGCGUUAAUCGGAAUUACUGGGCGUAAAGCGCACGCAGGCGGUCUGUCAAGUCGGAUGUGAAAUCCCCGGGCUCAACCUGGGAACUGCAUUCGAAACUGGCAGGCUUGAGUCUUGUAGAGGGGGGUAGAAUUCCAGGUGUAGCGGUGAAAUGCGUAGAGAUCUGGAGGAAUACCGGUGGCGAAGGCGGCCCCCUGGACAAAGAC